rnacentral:lncRNA from 1 species
GCACACAUACCUGAUGGAAAGUACCUAAGACUGCAGAUCUGUGUAUUUCUGCAGAAAUCUGCCAUUGGGAAAAGGUUGCAAAAAUUCUGGCCACCAUGUAAAUCCCACACUGAAGACUCACUUGGGAAGAAGAAAAGGCACAAAAUUUUGUGCUGGCACUCUAAAAGUGAAGGUGAGUGUUGACCUACCUAUGCACUAAUGAGAACAAAGCUAAACACCCAAAU